GAGAAAGUCAUAGAGGUUUUCAAUUGGCUUGAAACCAGUUUCUGGAGGUUCAAUUCCUUUCUUUUUCA
rnacentral:tRNA from 1 species